GAGAAGAAAAGAAGAAGAAGGAGAAGGAGGAGAAAGGGAGAGAGGAGGGAGCAAAUCUCAACCGAUUGGAGUGAUUCAAAAGCCUAAACCACUCUAAAUCUUCUCCUCUUUCAUAAUCCUAGCUUAAUUCUUAGUGGGGAGUUUUGUGUGGUGAGAUAUUGGCUCUCAAAAAUUCGCCCAUUUGGUGAAAUUUGGGGUUUUGAGUGCUUCAACCUCCAUUGAAGCUUGAGGAGCCAUCAAUCCUUGGUUGUGCAACCGUUGGUGGAUUGAGGCAUUUGGACCAACCGUAAGUGAUCAACCAUUGGAGCAAGCUAUGGAGCUUGAUUAGCUCCAUUGGAUAGGUUUUGUUUGAGAAGUGGAGUAUUGUAAUUAACGGGAUGUAGAAUCCGUGGGUGGUGAACAAAGGUCGAAUUGAAGCUUGAGGUAAGGAUGCUGCAGGAGCCUCUGGUGGCAAGUGGCCAUAUCUGGAUUAGCAUAUGCAUGAAGUGUUGCAUUUUUUUGAGAUUAUACAUGUUGUUUUGUAGCUCACAUGUAUAGAAGUGUAAUUAAUAGGCAAUGAUAGAUUUAUGAUUGGUAUAUUGGAAUGGACUUAGCCUAUGCUCAUGCCUUUGGUCAUCUUUUGUUGAUGGGAGCCAAGGGAAUGAUCAUAGUGUUUUGUAAGCUAAGUUCCAUG